rnacentral:rRNA from 1 species
AUUGAACGCUGGCGGCAGGCUUAACACAUGCAAGUCGAGCGGAGAUGAGGUGCUUGCACCUUAUCUUAGCGGCGGACGGGUGAGUAAUGCUUAGGAAUCUGCCUAUUAGUAGGGGACAACAUUCCGAAAGGAAUGCUAAUACCGCAUACGCCCUACGGGGGAAAGCAGGGGAUCUGCGGACCUUGCGCUAAUAGAUGAGCCUAAGUCGGAGUAGCUAGUUGGUGGGGUAAAGGCCUACCAAGGCGACGAUCUGUAGCGGGUCUGAGAGGAUGAUCCGCCACACUGGGACUGAGACACGGCCCAGACUCCUACGGGAGGCAGCAGUGGGGAAUAUUGGACAAUGGGCGGAAGCCUGAUCCAGCCAUGCCGCGUGUGUGAAGAAGGCCUUUUGGUUGUAAAGCACUUUAAGCGAGGAGGAGGCUACCUGGAUUAAUACUCUAGGAUAGUGGACGUUACUCGCAGAAUAAGCACCGGCUAACUCUGUGCCAGCCGCCGCGGUAACAC